rnacentral:ncRNA from 1 species
UAAUGUUAAUUAACCUUGUCACUCCAUGUCAACAUGAAGAAAUUCAACCAAGCGUAGGUAAACAUCUGGAGUAACUAUGUCUCUCUUAAGGUAGCCAUAUGCCUCGUCAUCUAAUUAGUAACACAAAUGAAUGGAUUAAUGAGAUUCACAUCAUCCCUAUCUACUAUCUAAAGAAACCAUAGCCAAGGGAAUAGGCUUGGCAGAAUUAGCGGGGAAAGAAGACCUUGUUGAGCUUGACUCUAGUCCAACUUUGUGAAAUGACUUGAGAGGUGUAGAAUAAGUGGGAUAUGUUUUAAUGUAUAACACUAUGAAUCCUAGAAAAUCAAAACCAUAUCCUAUAAAUUGUAAAUGAUACAAUCUAUAAUAAAAUACAACCCUCUAUUACCUAACAUGUACAACCUCUAUCAAAUGAAAUACUUAACCCCUACAACACAUGCAAUAACCUAUAACCCCCAACCCAUAUAUCCAAAAACACAUAAAAUUUAUUAACCCUUAAACCUAACCUU